UGGCUCAGGACGAACGCUGGCGGCGUGCUUGGUACAUGCAAGUCGGCUGAUGAAGCCUUUCGGGGUGGAUUAGUGGCGAACGGGUGAGUAACACGUGGGCAAUCUGUGCUUCACUCUGGGGCAAGCUCUGGAAACGGGGUCUAAUCUCGGAUAACUCUCUGUCUCGCAUGGGACUGGGUUAAAAGCUGCGGCGGUGAAGGAUGAGGCCGCGGCCUAUCAGCUUGUUGGUGGGGUAAUGGCCUCCAAGGCGACGUACGUGGUAGCCGGCCUGAGAGGGCGACCGGCCACACUGGGACUGAGACACGGGCCAGACUGCUACGGGAGGCAGCAUUGGGGAAUAUGCCAAGGGCGAAAGCCUGAGCAGCGCGCCGCGUGAGGAUCGGCCUCGGGUUGUAACCUCUU
rnacentral:rRNA from 1 species